rnacentral:rRNA from 1 species
GACGAACGCUGGCGGCGUGCCUAAUACAUGCAAGUAGAACGCUGAAGGAGGAGCUUGCUCUUCUGGAUGAGUUGCGAACGGGUGAGUAACGCGUAGGUAACCUGCCUGGUAGCGGGGGAUAACUAUUGGAAACGAUAGCUAAUACCGCAUAAGAGUAGAUGUUGCAUGACAUUUGCUUAAAAGGUGCAAUUGCAUCACUACCAGAUGGACCUGCGUUGUAUUAGCUAGUUGGUGGGGUAACGGCCCAACAAGGCGACGAUACAUAGCCGACCUGAGAGGGUGAACGGCCACACUGGGACUGAGACACGGCCCAGACUCCUACGGGAGGCAGCAGGAGGGGAUCUUCGGAAAUGGACGGAAGUCUGACCGAGCAACGCCGCGUGGGUGAAGAAGGUUGUCGGAUCGUAAAGCUCUGUUGUAAGAGAAGAACGAGUGUGAGAGUGGAAAGUUCACACUGUGACGGUACCUUACCAGAAAGGGACGGCUAACUACGUG